CGAGAAGGAUGAAUGGGCCGAGGAAAGAGGAGCAACGGACGGAUAAGGAACAGCGCGACGAACGCAGGGGAGGACUGAACCGAGCAAAAGGAGGAAUGGCAACGAGACGCAUGAAGGGAGAGAACGAGAGAGAAUAGGAAGGGAGGGAGAAUAAAGAGGAAAGAGGAGGGGAGGGGACAGAAAGGGGAGAGAAGGAGAGCGAGCGAGCGGCUUGCGAGUUGGAGAAGACGCGAUUUGCCGCUCCGUCGUGUAGAGCACGUCGCCUCGAUACAGACUGCGGCGGCCUGGACAACUGCCGCCCACCCAAGCUGCCUCUACCUCGAGCCUCGAGGUUCCAGAACCUACUCCUCGCAUGCCCCGCCAUUGCAGCUCGUUCAUCCUUCACUUUCUCCGUUCGUUGAACAGAGAAAUCGACACGCCGAGGGUCGGGGUGAAACCGCCUGAGAGGUGAACAGAGACAGGACCAAGGGACAGAUGCGAUAGACAAAGACCAGACAAGGCCUCUGUCUUUUUGACAGCGAUGUACUCCGCCGCCGUGGAAUAGCUGCCGUUACAAACAGGUUCGUAGGGCAGGUCACGUAACGACAGGGGCGCGCCGUGCAAAAUACCGCGAAUCACGAAUUCAAUGCACCGAAGACUGUGUGCCAAACAGGACAAGGAUUGUUCGCGUUUCACGCGUGAAUACGACCGCGUUCUGAUAUUCAUUCAAUGCGGUAAUCCUCUACCGUUUACCGUUUCGCAGAGAAUUCUUCGACCUCCCUGGCUAAAGAGAAGAUCACGAGUAAGAAAACGACGCCGUAUCCUAGCCGCGGGAGAACCCGACGCUAGCGUGAGAAUUCUUGCGAUCUGGCGCCAGGCCAAAUGUACCUCAUUUUUUCUUCGUCGAUCAUUCCUAACGUCACCGAUAUUCUACCUCUUGUUUAUGCUCGCGGUGAAACUCGACGGCAAACGCGGCGUCGCCGCUAACAGAUGUGCACACUAAAUAUGUGACUCUCGCCCUGAUCGCUAAUCCUGCUCGCGAUCAAGAAUGCACAAAUUUAUCGAUAUAUCUUCGAAAGUUUAUCUUAUCAAGAUACAUGAUAACAUUUGCGUCGUGUAAAAUUAUCCAACUAUGUUGUGACUAACUCGUUGACAGAAACUAGGUAUCGGCUAUUGUUCCAGUACAAAGGUGAAUGAGUAAGUACUCAAGUCAGUGAUUAAGGAAUCGAUUACCCUGAAUAACUGUUCGUUGCAAUUUAACGGCCGAUGUACCGUUUAAUUUCCGUUUUUUUUUUUUAUGAUAAUCCCUACAAUAAGUUAAACGUCAAGUGUAUUUAACAAUGUUCACGGCUAUAAUUUUAAAGAGCCUCGACUCCAAAUAAUCUUCUUACAAACUACCAAAAAUUCUCGGCGUAGCCUCGAUAUACUGAUACUUGAUGGCCAUUUGUAUAUAAAUUUAAAUGACAGCUUCUCGCUGGACAAGGAGUGACCCAGCUGGAAACUGGAAAGAAAAUAAUUUGGUCGAACCGUUAGUCCUCGAAAGCGUGAACAGAUAUACAAACACGCCAAGGGUCGAAAUGAUCUGAAUUUCAAUAUGAGAGGCCUAAGCCUCUUGUAAGCUGAUAUAUGUAUUGGGCACACAGCUAUUUACAGCUUCUAAUCUCAUCGGUUUUCCGGACGAUGAUCCAAGUCCUCACAAACGAAUUUUCGCGACUUUACCAAAUAGAACCGUUGGUACGAGCUGAAUGCACGCCUGCAGGCAUCAAUUCGCCUCAAACGAAAUAAUUUCCACUCUUCUAACGUUAUAUCGUAAUGUCUACUACAUAUUCGAUGAGUUCGAAGAGCGGUUCAUCGUUCCCGACUCAUGGCCUGGAUCCCACCGGGCAACUUUUUAUCUGUUACCUUAAUUUUUUUUAUCUUCCCUGCCUUGUUGGCAUGUACACACGGAUUCCUAACUGUACCGCCGAUCGCCAUGAAGAUUACUCCACGAAAUAUAUAUUAAAUCCCAGUUUGCGCCAAAGAAAUUUAGUCUGAUCUUGAACGUCGAAUUGGUAGAUUGGAACGUAUUCGCCCGGGUUAACGCUACAGAUGUUGGUCCGUGUAAGGUUCUACUGGUCCCUCGAAGAUAAGAAUCCUCGAGGAACAAGGGAGCGCGGGAUGAAGAAGACCUACAAAGCAGGUAAGCAAGGAAAUGAUGAGAGUAUCUCUCAAGUGUCAGACGAAUUAGUUUCAUGAAGUUAAUUAGGCCACCGUCUGUCCUUUCGUUUCGAGAGAUACUCGCGUGUUACACGCAGGCCUUUACUCAUUCUGAAAAGUUCUCCCGCGAAAAAUACAAGACGAGACACGGAUGCAUCGACCUCUUCAGAUACUUCGGGUACCCCGGGACAUCUAGCGAGCAGCUUGUGAAGCCUUGUACGUAGGCAAAGAAAACCAGACAUCGUAACAAAUGUACGACUAACAGGUGCAAAACAAUGCAUCGGUUAAAAUUCUGUUUCCACCUUCGAUUUUCUAAACUCGUUGUAUAUCUAUAUUUUCCUUUUCAACUAUUGGCAUUAAAAUACUCGACAAUUUCGUAGAAAAACAAGCGAACUGUGCUAUUCAAUUCUAUUCUAUUAGGAUGGGGAUUCGAUUUUAGAAAAGAAAUAUCUCGAACGAUCUGUAAAUGACACCGCAACGGAGCGUAUCCAAAACGAAACGAGUUUGCCGCGAGGAAGGAAGUAACGAAGAGGAAGGAAAAAAGUUGUAAGAGCAAAAAGAAGGAAGGGGGAAGAAGACGUUCUCGAGGCUGGGGCAACGAACCAUGACCCGAGCACCUGUUGCCGCCUCCACGCUCCUAGAUUAAUGCGGACCGACCUAACCUGCCGCCUCCGCUCACUACUUGCCAUCGCGUAGGCAUAGUGAACUAGUACUAACCUCUGUGUCGAACAUCUUAUGGACCGUGACCGGUGAAAAGCAUGGUCGUGAGUUCAUCGACGCGACGACGUGGUUGGAUCGUUAACCGCAUAUUGCUCGGUUGUCUGCUCUCUUUGAUCGCGACACAAGUGUCUUCAUUCAUCGUUCUCGACCGGAACGCGUUCAACGUGGUUAAAAGUCGUUUCGCCAGCCGAGAUUCGCUCGCGUUCUCGGAAAACCAUAAAUUAAUACAGUGGGGGGAGAAACGGCGUGAGUCUUGAGAGCAGAGAGGCAAUUGAGAGAAUCGGCCGCCGGUACUUGAUAGAACAACGGUUACUAGAGCAUUCACGAUAGCGUACCAAUAGGUCGUUAUAAUUAGAAACAAUUAUGCUCGCGUGCCCGAGAUGCGAUACUUCGAUAUUGGCUCCCACCUACGGUAUAUUUACGAGAUAACGAGAGUUACGUUACGUCGAUCGAACACCAGUUUAACGACGCUACGUGAAAAUGGUGCGGAACCAAGCAGACCGCGCGCGCCGUUGCUUUUGUGAGCGUGAAUCAGAGCCUGUAAUUUCACGAAUCGGAUAUGUCCUACAUGCAUACGUUCAUAUGCAUACACAUGCUUGUCCUAUGCCCGUCGAGGAAGGAAAAAAAAGACUAGCGGACUCGAUAAUCGUGGAAGUGGUCCGUUUUACCGAGGUUUCGUUGUAUGUACGGAGGGAUAAAAUUGGUUCGAAGAUCUAAGCGUCGCGAAGAACGACUUGUGACAGAGGCACGCAAACUGAAUGAAAAAUCUCUCACGUACAUGUUAAAUACAUGCAUCAACGGUGCAAAAGAUAGAUCGGGAGAGAUCCGAUACAAAGAACCGGAAGCGGAUGUGGUAACGUAUCAAGUCGAACUAAUUCUCAGGCGGCGUUAAAAAAAAUUGAAACGUGUAAAUUCUUCGAUGUACAGCUCACCAUUCUAUUUUCAAACGGGGUUAGUUGCUUAUACGCAUAUGUGUAUAUUUGGGCUAGAAACAAGCCAAACCCUCAGGACAUUUUAUUAUCUAUUUAACAAUGAUUCUAUUGCUGUCAGAGGUAAAAUGAUCCGACUUCAUUUGAAAUGCUUGUUCUGAUGGUUAUUGAUUGAAACACUUAUAUACGACGAAAUAUUUUUACAAAUGAAGCUUUUCAUGGUUUUAGUUAAUUUCCUUUUCAGUUCAAAUGAAAAAAAUAUCCGUUUUUUGUAUAUUCGCAACUUAAAAGAUUUCAAUUUAUGGCGCACGAAACCACGCGAAAUAAAUUUCCUCUCCUGUUUCCUCCGUCUCUUCUGUACUUCAAAUUUAAGUAUGUCGGAUGCAAAAUCACAACAAAUACUUUUAUACGUUUUUCUGAUAAAUAAUCAAACACUUGAGAACACUUUUGCUUCAAAACAUCCUUGUUGAUUGAAACAAAGAUGUAAUUUGGUUAUUCUCGAGUUAAACUUAACCUAACAGUUCAAAAAACGUAAUGAGAACACAGUCAGUAACAUUGCAACGAAAUGACACUAAAUUCUUUCAGUUUGCGCAUCACGAAGAUGUACACGAUACUCUUGAAGAACGUUAUCAUAAAAUUCAGAAGUUUUCUACUUAAACGUGAAAGAUGUACGAGCAAUGUACAUAAUAUCAAGAAUCAGCGACAUCUGCGGAAAACAUUCUGCAAGUAACUAAUCAAGAUAACCGUUUCACCAAAAAUAAUGAAAUGUAACUGUGAUUCAGUCGAACAUAUCUGUUGGAAACUUGAAACAAAUAAUCAACUUCAUGUAAUACAAUGUGGAUAAACUGAUA